CUUUGCAUAGGGAGGAGGCGGGGGAACAAUGGGGUGCGCGGCGCGGCAGACGUUCCCGGCAUGCACCACUCCUCCCGGUUGUCGAGCGGGGCAUGCUGGGAUAUGUAGUCUCCAGCGGCAACAGCCAACUUCCAACCGCUGCCUGUUCCGCUCCUAGGGACGGUGGUCCGAGGGAGCCACUCGGGUGAUGGCCACGGGCAGCCCUGUGUCGGGGCCCCCGCGGUCACCCCUGGACGCUGCCAUGGCGGGAGAAGGGAGGCUGCCGGACAAGUCCAGGUUGUGUUGGGCGCGAGGGUUGGCAGAGCUGGUAGAUGACGAUAAAGCCGCGGCCUCCCCGCGGUGCCCCGGGCCGGCUGUCCGUCAGAGCGAGCUUCACCGCCCCACCCAGGGGGAGUCGAGGCUGAAGAGCGAGCCGUUCCAGGGGGCGUUAGCUCCUCUUCGGGCCUUGGCUGCACUAGUCCAGAACUCAGACAUGUGGGAGAUGCUGCUGAGGCAACACACUGUCAUGUCAACUCCCCAUAAAGCCUCUAUUCAGCUGUGACAGGUGAUGGAGCCAGUUUUCUGAGUUGUCAAAGCUGCAGCUGAAGGGAGGGCAGUGGGAGCCGAAUAAGGGUUUGUAUGCAGCACACAGAGAGAAGGGUUACCACAGCUUCUCCAGCAACAGAAACCAAAGGGGAGUGAUUACUAUAGUCCGAGAGACUGUAAACAGCUCCAGAGAAGUACUACCUCCAGUUGCAUAUGCCACUUGCAUAUACCAGUUUGAGGCAAUCCCAGAGGAAAAGUGAAGGACAAAGAAAGAAUUUGGGAGAUAAAGGCUGAGUUUGGGAAAACUCAGGAUCUUCUGUUUUAUUCAACAAACAGGCAGGACCUCGAGCCCCAGCCUUUCUUGAAUGGUUGUAAAGACUUUAUCCAACUAGGUUCCAUAAGACGGGUGGGUGAUUGCUGGAAUGGUUACUGUGAGUUUAAAUCUGUUCAUUGUUUCUUACACGUUUUCUCUGAAAUGCUUUUGCCAUGAAAAUAAAUGUACUUUGCUUUGGAAGACGUGUGUGGUCACUGAUAAAAACACUGUCAUUGUCCUCUGAGAAAAAGAAUGAACAAUGGCUAGUGUUUAGGCAGACUGGCUUGCUGGGGGUAUCAGCGUGUAAGGCAGAGAGCUGUGUAGCUUUAAAACUCCCAGUUAGGAGGAAAAGAGACACAGGUCUCCACCCAAGAGAGGUGAAAGCAGGGAGCCUGAAACCUUAAGUGGGUGCCGUCCAGGGACCAUGGCAGGGGAAUACAGGUGCAGUUAUCCCUGAAACUGUGGCAGUGUGGUGGCAAUGUAGGAGCUCUAUGACAAUGUGAAUUGCCAAUAAGGUGCCCAAAGCAGUAAAAGCAAGUACUGUAGAAGGAAAAAGCAGGAAGAAAAGUCUUAUAGUCUUUUGGGGGGGAAUAGUGAAGAGAGACAGAAAAAAUAAGUUUUGAACAGCUGACGACAUAUCAGCUUCUGAGCGUGUUCACACAGCAGUCUGUCUGCUCCUAUUCAGAAGAAAUCAGAGUUGGUGGUCAUGCUGCACUCUUAUGGCUCUAGUCAGGAGGAGGAGGCACCUGCUUCAAACAAGGACAAAGAGGGUUUUUUU